AGAGUUUGAUCCUGGCUCAGGAUAAACGCUGGCGGCGCACAUAAGACAUGCAAGUCGAACGGACUUAACCGAAAGUUUACUUUUGGAGCGGUUAGUGGCGGACUGGUGAGUAACACGUAAGCAACCUGCCUAUCAGAGGGGAACAACAGUUAGAAAUGACUGCUAAUACCGCAUAUACCUAAGUAUCACAUGGUACAAUAGGGAAAGGAGCAAUCCGCUGAUAGAUGGGCUUGCGUCUGAUUAGAUAGUUGGUGUGGUAACGGCACACCAAGUCGACGAUCAGUAGCCGGACUGAGAGGUUGAACGGCCACAUUGGGACUGAGAUACGGCCCAGACUCCUACGGGAGGCAGCAGUCGGGAAUAUUGCGCAAUGGAGGAAACUCUGACGCAGCGACGCCGCGUGGAGGAAGAAGGUCUUCGGAUUGUAAACUCCUGUUGUUGGGGAAGAUAAUGACGGUACCCAAUAAGGAAGUGACGGCUAACUACGUGCCAGCAGCCGCGGUAAAACGUAGGUCACAAGCGUUGUCCGGAAUUACUGGGUGUAAAGGGAGCGCAGGCGGGAAGACAAGUUGGAAGUGAAAUCUAUGGGCUCAACCCAUAAACUGCUUUCAAAACUGUUUUUCUUGAGUAGUGCAGAGGUAGGCGGAAUUCCCGGUGUAGCGGUGGAAUGCGUAGAUAUCGGGAGGAACACCAGUGGCGAAGGCGGCCUACUGGGCACCAACUGACGCUGAGGCUCGAAAGUGUGGGUAGCAAACAGGAUUAGAUACCCUGGUAGUCCACACCGUAAACGAUGAUUACUAGGUGUUGGAGGAUUGACCCCUUCAGUGCCGCAGUUAACACAAUAAGUAAUCCACCUGGGGAGUACGACCGCAAGGUUGAAACUCAAAGGAAUUGACGGGGGCCCGCACAAGCAGUGGAGUAUGUGGUUUAAUUCGACGCAACGCGAAGAACCUUACCAAGUCUUGACAUCCCUUGACAGACAUAGAAAUAUGUAUUCUCUUCGGAGCAAGGAGACAGGUGGUGCAUGGUUGUCGUCAGCUCGUGUCGUGAGAUGUUGGGUUAAGUCCCGCAACGAGCGCAACCCUUAUCCUUAGUAGCCAGCAGUAAGAUGGGCACUCUAGGGAGACUGCCAGGGAUAACCUGGAGGAAGGUGGGGAUGACGUCAAAUCAUCAUGCCCCUUAUGAUUUGGGCUACACACGUGCUACAAUGGCGUAAACAAAGGGAAGCGAAGCCGCGAGGUGAAGCAAACCCCAAAAAUAACGUCCCAGUUCGGAUUGUAGGCUGCAACUCGCCUGCAUGAAGCUGGAAUCGCUAGUAAUCGCGAAUCAGAAUGUCGCGGUGAAUACGUUCCCGGGUCUUGCACACACCGCCCGUCA
rnacentral:rRNA from 1 species